AACGAACGCUGGCGGCAUGCCUAACACAUGCAAGUCGAACGCCCUGCAAGGGGAGUGGCGAACGGGUGAGUAACGCGUGGGAACCUACCUAGCGAUGGGGGGAUAACCGAGGGAAACUUCGGCUAAUACCGCAUACGCCCCUACGGGGGGAAGAUUUAUCGUCGUUGGAGGGGCCCGCGUCCGAUUAGCUAGUUGGUGAGGUAAUGGCUCACCAAGGCAUCGAUCGGUAGCUGGUCUGAGAGGANGAUCAGCCACACUGGGACUGCGACACGGCCCAGACUCCUACGGGAGGCAGCA
rnacentral:rRNA from 1 species